CACAAGCGGUGGAGCAUGUGGUUUUAAUUCGAAGCAACGCGCAGAACCUUACCUACCCUUGACAUGUCUAGUAUGGUUUCCGGAGACGGAUUCCUUUCAGUUCGGCUGGCUAGAACACAGGUGCUGCAUGGCUGUCGUCAGCUCGUGUCGUGAGAUGUUGGGUUAAGUCCCGCAACGAGCGCAACCCUUAUUCUUAGUUGUUUUCCCUUUGGGAUUACCCUCUAAGAAGACUGCCUCGGAUAACGGGGAGGAAGGUGGGGAUGACGUCAAGUCCGCAUGCUCCUUACGUCUAGGGCUACACACGUCCUACAAUGGGGUCGACAAUGGGAUGCAAUAUCGCAAGAUGGAGCCAAUCCCCAAACGGCCUCUCAGUUCGGAUUGUAGUCUGCAACUCGACUACAUGAAGUCGGAAUCGCUAGUAAUGGCAGAUCAGCAUGCUGCCGUGAAUACGUUCCCGGGUCUU
rnacentral:rRNA from 1 species